UCAAGCGGGCCACACUUCCUCCCCCAGGUUCUAAUUUUGUGCCACAUUAAAGAGCUCGGCCUCCAUUUAGGACACAGAGAGGCAUUUUCAUAAUUUGCCGGGUCUCUCGGCUAGCUCGGGGUGCCUUUUUUCUUCUCUUUCCUCCCUCUCGCUCUCACUCCGUGUCUGAAUGGAAGGCCUGGGGAGGAAGAGUGGUAGGCUAAUUCAUUCGCCUCCUUUCAACCAACCGGCUUCAGUUCUGCAUAAUGUUGCUGCUAGGUGUGUAUAGCAGCUAAUAUUUAUCUUUAUAAUAAUUCUCUAUUAAACCUGAAUAUUAUUUGCCUUAUAAAAGCUAACACUGUACAAAAAUUGUCAUUCACGUAUUAUUGAUACAUUAAGGCUAAUUCACAUACCUGUAUUUAGCAUUCUGAGAAGAGUUAAAGACCACAGUGGAUUUAAUCUGAGACCAUGCAGCCAUACAACUGUGAUGCUGGCAUUGAUCAAAUCUGGGAUGUAGUAAACAUACAGUAUAUAAUCUAGGUUAAAGUUGUUUAAUUUCCUCUUGCUGACACCAUCCAUUCAUGCACUGCAGCAUGCGUAAGCAUUGAUUCAUAUGUGAUUGGUCACAUAAUACACUGUCUCAGGGGGCAUUUCAUCGCUGACAGACAAGCUAAUCUAAAAUCCCCCAAUUUACAAAUGAAAAUCCCACCAUCCAAUUGAGCUAAUAGAGGGACUUGAAUGGGAUAAUAAGAUGUGGUGUAAUACUGUGUAAAAAGCCUGUAAUGUUGUGUUGGUGUAAGAGCCUGUGUGACUGGAUGUUUGACUGUUUGCAGUGAUUACAGGGGCCUGCGGGCCUGGCGGCGGCUCCGUGACUGGGACAGGGAGCUUCUCCCUGGGCAAGGAGAUACGCCUGUCUGCCCCUUCUGCUGGAGCUACAGGGACCAGGAUGUCAGGAGGGAGAGUGCUCCCAGUGAGCUCUCUUUCUCCCUCUCUCUCUCUCACUGUCUCUUUCUGUCUGUCUCUGCCUCUCGUUCCCGGUCUCGCUGUGUCUGUACUAUUGCAGUGCUUGCAGAUGUGCACAAACAAGGGAGGAUUAAAGCAAAACGAAUCUAAACAGACAAAUGGAAUUAGAGUGAUGGGUGUCGGUGGGCUGGUUCACAGUGAUAAACAUAAUGACGCUCUGUAUGUAUGUGUGUGUGAGUGAGUGUGUUCCUGUGUCUAGGGGAUUAUCAGUGGUUAGGUGUGUGGUGUGUAUGGCUGGGUGACUGCUUCUGGGUGUCUUUGUGUGUUUGCCUAUCUGUCUGUGUUUUUGUAAUUAUGUGUGUGUAUAUUUACUCGGUCUCUACUUGUGUGUGUGAUAAAUGUGUUAUUCUACAUCGCCUCGCAAAAACAAUUCUGCGCCCUCUGCAUGUGUGUGGAUAUGUUUCACUGUGUUUUCCCGUUGGUCAGGGUCAUAUUUUCUUCUUGUCUUUCAUACUGUCUGUUUGUAUUUCCACAUCAGAAUCACUACCUAAGCCUGUAUGUCUCUACUGGACAUCAAAACUCUUCACCCAAUAUUGACAUAUGCCUAGAAAGAUGAGAGAGGGUUUGUUAAAUAUGAAGGUCUCAUAAACUAAUCUUGCAUAGUGCCAGGCAGUUCAUGUGCUGAUGUUGUGUGUAGACUUGUUUUCUUGUGGCAGGGGUCUGUGUGUUUAUGCGCUGAGGGAGGUAAGGAGUGUGGAGGAGCCAGCAGGGGGGCAGUGAUCAACAGCCUGGGGCUCCCCUGCCGAGGGGCUCUGGGAUUAGGGUUAAACCCUGCCCUGCCAGAUGGGCACAACACAUCCCCAGCAUCUCACACCAGCAUCAGCACCUUUAGGACCGCUCUAGCCCUUCCCCCUUCUUCUGUGGAAACUAGGUGACUGGAACCACGGUGAUACUCACUGUUACGCUUCUCAACGGACUCACAGGAACGCACAGAAUGGCGACAGGAGAGACGACUGAGAUGAGGACCUGGAAUUUCCACGAGGAUGUUUGAUCCUUAUAAUCCAAGCAAUCGGCAUUGAAGUUCAGCUUCCACGACGCCGCUUGGUCCUUAUAAUCCAAGCAGUCUGCAGUGGAGUUGAAGCCCAGGCCGGACGUCCCGUAGCCCUGGGUGGAGAGGGACGCCGGGGACUGGUUCAGAUGGCUUGUGACCGCGUUUGUGCUCAUCGGACUGAGAGUUGAACCAGGCCCUGACAACUGGUGGUGCAUGGGAGUGAGAGCCAGCCAGUCUGCUCCCAUCCGCCUCAUACAGGCCUGCACCAAAAUACACCCAGAAUAUCUGCAGGGGAGUUCCCACCGAGAGGAACCGAGCAGCCGAGGACUUACAGGCACCGGGACCUGCAGUGUACCUACACCCAGGGAUCAGGAGAAAUGACAGGGGAGAAGGCAGAGAAAGGCCGGCUGUGCAGUUGGAGACAAGCAGAGCUACUUUCUCUUAUUUCACCUGACACAUGUUCAGCAAAAUGUGAAAGAACAUAAAAGAGAAACGUGAAGAAGAUUUCGAUCAGUGGAAGCGGAUGAAUGGAUCAUAUCCCUGGAUUUUAUUUAACAGCUAAACAUGAGAUUUGAUCUCAGCAGAGGAAAAGUUUUGCUGUGAGUCUGCCUGUUUGGAGGAGAGGAACUGCAACCCGUUCAGGAGUUCGCCAACAAACAAACGGAUGCAAUUAAACACACUCGCCGUCAGAUCAUCAAUGAGGAGGCAAAGUCAAGACUGGUGGAAAAACCGACAAGGACAAAUAUAAGACGGGAGAAGACUCUGCUGCUUCAAGGUUAAACUUGAACUGUGCAAAGAGCUCGUCUUCACACAAUCUAGAUAGUUUUCUUCAAAGACACAUCACUAGCUGUUUUUUUUUUAUAAUAAAUGUCCUCAGUUUACAACUUGAUAUAACUCUUAAUUGAUGUUAUAUUUUGAUUUCAUUGCUAAAUAAUUAAAUCUGACGUAUAUAAUAUCAUAUCCCUGUUUCGUCUCUACCUCCACACUGUCUUGGAAGUAAUUAAAAAAGUAUUUGCAAAUAAAGACUAUCAUUGUCAGACCACCACCCUGCUCUCUUGCUCUGUCUCUUUCCACCUAGCCAUAUAGGCUUCUCCUCUGUGUGCUGAGGUGUCUGCGUGGCGUGGUAAAACCUGCCCUGCAGACCGGACCUCUCAAGUCUUCAAAGGAGGAAGAACUCAAUGUGGGGGAUUUGUUCAGGCUUAUUUGGUAACCUAG